rnacentral:rRNA from 1 species
GAUGAACGCUGGCGGCGUGCUUAACACAUGCAAGUCGAACGAAGCACUUAUCAAAGAAGCCUUCGGGUGGAAUUGAUUUGUGACUGAGUGGCGGACGGGUGAGUAACGCGUGGGUAACCUGCCUUAUACAGGGGGAUAACAGUUAGAAAUGACUGCUAAUACCGCAUAAGCGCACAGUACCGCAUGGUACAGUGUGAAAAACUCCGGUGGUAUAAGAUGGACCCGCGUCUGAUUAGCUGGUUGGUGAGGUAACGGCUCACCAAGGCGACGAUCAGUAGCCGACUUGAGAGAGUGAUCGGCCACAUUGGGACUGAGACACGGCCCAAACUCCUACGGGAGGCAGCAGUGGGGAAUAUUGCACAAUGGGGGAAACCCUGAUGCAGCGACGCCGCGUGAGCGAAGAAGUAUUUCGGUAUGUAAAGCUCUAUCAGCAGGGAAGAUAAUGACGGUACCUGACUAAGAAGCUCCGGCUAAAUACGUGCCAG